rnacentral:rRNA from 1 species
GACGAACGCUGGCGGCGUGCUUAACACAUGCAAGUCGAACGGAAAGGCCCUGCUUGUGUGGGGUGCUCGAGUGGCGAACGGGUGAGUAACACGGGAGUAACCUGCCCUGGGCUUUGGGAUAACUUCAGGAAACUGGGGCUAAUACCGGAUAGGAGCUCCUGCUGCAUGGUGGGGGUUGGAAAGUUUCGGCGGUUGGGGAUGGACUCGCGGCUUAUCAGCUUGUUGGUGGGGUAGUGGCUUACCAAGGCUUUGACGGGUGGCCGGCCUGAGAGGGUGACCGGCCACAUUGGGACUGAGAUACGGACCAGACUCCAACGGGAGGCAGCAGUGGGGAAUAUUGCACAAUGGGCGGAAGCCUGAUGCAGAAACGCCGCGUGCGGGAUGACGGCCUUCGGGUUGUAAACCGCUUUAGCCUGUGACGAAGCGUGAGUGACGGUAAUGGGUAAAGAAGCACCGGCUAACUACGUG